AUGACUUCCCUCCACCACACAGCCAAGGGGCUGCACAUGGCCUUACCUGGCCUCCUGCCUUGCAUCCCUCACAUUGUGUACGGAGUGGGAUCAGGACCCCUCUCACAGUCACUCGGGACGAGGGCAAUGCUUAGCCCCAAACAGAACUGUCAAGGGGCUUUUCCGAAGCAGGCUGGAGAGCCGGGUGACGUGAUGGGUGUCCCCCUACUCAGCCUCCAUGUGAGGGAGACAAAGGCCCCUCUGCCCAUCCCCUACCCCCUUCAGGGAACUGCCUGGCCCCUCCUCCAGCUUACGCUCAGGGCCUGGCCUGCCCGUCGGCACCAGCUCCACGACAAGUUCAUUGUCCUCCUUGCCCCGGGCCAGCCAGCGGUUGGCUUCGAACUUGUACUGCUCAAUCACCUCCUGCAUCCCCGGCCCAAACUCCUCCUCUUCCUCCUCCUCCUCGGUCUCCUCCUCCUCCUCCUCUUCCGACGAGGACUCCUCCGAGGACUCUUCCUCUUCGGCCCCCUCCUCCCCCUCGUCCUCCUCAUCACUGCCCUUCUUCUUCUUCUUCUUCUUCCUCUGCAGCUUGGCCUUGAGCCGCUCCUUCUUGAGCAGCUGCUGCAGCUUGGCCUUCUCCUUCUUCCUGCGGGACUCCUCCUCGGGUGUGAGCUCCUCCUCCCGCACCACCAGGUGCCGCAGCCACACCGUGUCCACGAACCAGCUGGGCCCGAAGCCCUCGCCCGUGUGCCCGAGCCGGAUCUUGUAGACCUCGCCCACGUCCGCCGCCUCCAGCUGUGCAAAGCGCAGGGCAGUGGCUGGGGUGGCCCCGGCGCCUGCCCACCUUCCCUGGGGAGCCAGGCGCAGGGACUGUGCGCUGAGCUGCAGGUGGGGCGGCUCCCCGGUUCCUGCCACACGCAGCUGGUGCCUCUGGCCUGGCCCCAGCUCCACCCAUGUUUAUUUCCUUCUAAACCCUGUGGUGUUCAAACUGGUCUCCCUGGCCCUCUCUCUCUCUCUCUCUCUCUCUCUCUCUCACACACACACACACACACACACACACACACACACACACAGUCUCUCUCUCUCUCUCUCUCUCUCUCUUCCUCUCAUUCCUAUUUCAUCUUAGCCCAUGCCCUUCCCUACCUGGCCAGCCUUACUCCCUCCUCUAUCUCAAACUAA
rnacentral:lncRNA from 1 species